GAUGAACGCUGGCGGCGUGCUUAACACAUGCAAGUCGAACGAAGCACUUGAAGUUUUUCGGAAUGGAAAGUGACUGAGUGGCGGACGGGUGAGUAACGCGUGGGUAACCUGCCUCAUACAGGGGGAUAACAGUUAGAAAUGACUGCUAAUACCGCAUAAGCGCACAGUACCGCACGGUACGGUGUGAAAAACUCCGGUGGUAUGAGAUGGACCCGCGUCUGAUUAGCUAGUUGGUGAGGUAACGGCUCACCAAGGCGACGAUCAGUAGCCGACCUGAGAGGGUGACCGGCCACAUUGGGACUGAGACACGGCCCAAACUCCUACGGGAGGCAGCAGUGGGGAAUAGUGCACAAUGGGCGAGAGCCUGAUGCAGCGACGCCGCGUGAACGAAGAAGUAUUUCGGUAUGUAAAGUUCUAUCAGCAGGGAAGAAAAUGACGGUACCUGACUAAGAAGCACCGGCUAAAUACGUGCCAGCCGCCGCAGUAAUAC
rnacentral:rRNA from 1 species